rnacentral:rRNA from 1 species
UACGUAGGGGGCUAGCGUUGCUCGGAAUCACUGGGCGUAAAGGGUGCGUAGGCGGGUCUUUAAGUCAGGGGGGAAAUCCUGGAGCUCAACUCCAGAACUGCCUUUGAUACUGAGGAUCUUGAGUUCGGGAGAGGUGAGUGGAACUGCGAGUGUAGAGGUGAAAUUCGUAGAUAUUCGCAAGAACACCAGUGGCGAAGGCGGCUCACUGGCCCGGUACUGACGCUGAGGUGCGAAAGCGUGGGGAGCAAACAGG